AUUGAACGCUGGCGGCAGGCCUAACACAUGCAAGUCGAACGAGAGGAGGACGGGUGAGUAAUGUAUGAGGAUCUGCCCGAUAGACGGGGAAAAGUACGAGAAAAGGUGGAUAAUACCGCUAAAUACCGGAUGAACUCAUGUGGGAUGAGCUAGUAGGGGGGGUAAAGGCUAACCUAGGCGACGAUGCUUAGCAGGCCUGAGAGGAUGAUCAGCCACACUGGGACUGAGACACGGCCCAGACUCCUACGGGAGGCAGCAGUGGGGAAUAUUGCACAAUGGGCGCAAGCCUGAUGCAGCCAUGCCGCGUGUAUGAAGAAGGUCUUAGGGUUGUAAAGCACUUUCAUCGGGGAGGCGUUAUCUGCCGAAGAAGCACCGGCUAACUCCGUGCCAGCAGCCGCGGUAAUAC
rnacentral:rRNA from 1 species